rnacentral:rRNA from 1 species
UGGGGAAUAUUGGACAAUGGGCGAAAGCCUGAUCCAGCCAUGCCGCGUGUGUGAAGAAGGCCUUUUGGUUGUAAAGCACUUUAAGCGAGGAGGAGGCUACUUAGAUUAAUACUCUAGGAUAGUGGACGUUACUCGCAGAAUAAGCACCGGCUAACUCUGUGCCAGCAGCCGCGGUAAUACAGAGGGUGCGAGCGUUAAUCGGAUUUACUGGGCGUAAAGCGUGCGUAGGCGGCUUUUUGAGUCGGAUGUGAAAUCCCUGAGCUUAACUUAGGAAUUGCAUUCGAUACUGGGAAGCUAGAGUAUGGGAGAGGAUGGUAGAAUUCCAGGUGUAGCGGUGAAAUGCGUAGAGAUCUGGAGGAAUACCGAUGGCGAAGGCAGCCAUCUGGCCUAAUACUGACGCUGAGGUACGAAAGCAUGGGGAGCAAACAGG